CGCCCUCCCCUCGGGGGCUGCGCGGGGCCCGGGGGCAAGGGGUGUGCGCUUUGGUUUCCUGCGGGAUCCUCAGGGGCUAGACCGGUGCUUGGCCCUGGGAACAAAGCCUCGCUAGCACCUUUUAUUUACUCAGUAAAAGUGGGAUGAAUGAAUGAGUGUACGAGUGAAGGAGUGGAUGGGUUCUCUCCUGGCUUCCGCACCUGCCGGUUCUCGAAGCCACUCCGAUCACAGUGCUCCCAUCGAUGAAACAGGGAUGAAAGUAGCCACCAUCGAGCUGCAAAGGCUUGGUGUAGUUCCAGGUUGGAGCAGGCCUUUGCCGAUAUUGUGAAUUCGCUUCCCUCCUCAUCGACACAAAUCCGACUCGUGCUGAAUAGUCCAGGAGCCCUGCUAUUUCUCUGUAAACUCCUGACACACGGAGGACCGAGCUGCGACUUGGUGGGAAAUUCCUGAAGCGGGUUCCCACAUGUUUGGAGCCGUGACCCGUAGCGGGCAGGAGCAUCUGUGUGGAAGAGAAAAGAAUGAUCCUGGCCUGAGGGCUUCUGAGGUGACUGGUAGGAGGGUGAGUCAUUCCAGUACUGGCGGCCCCUUCCUACCCAGGCCCCCGGGAUGCAGGAGGAAGGACGGCUGGAUUGAACAGCAACGAGGAAAAAAGUUGGCCAAGUGAAGAAACUGCUCAGCUUUCACUGAGUCAUCAUCUGGCAGAGUCCGACACGUCUGUGGGGGCUGGAUCUCUUCUGUAUUUCUCGGUCUGGAGUUUCUUGAGUUGCUCCAUUCUGUAAAUUCUGUGUCUGAGUCACUGGACAUGAUUGAUUUCCUCUGCCCUGCAUUUACAGCUUUACCUAUUUAAUGGCUGUUUGGAAGUAAAAGUUACACACAGCACAUGCACGCACACACACACGGACACACACCAAAUAAAUCAGUACUUAUCCUUA